rnacentral:rRNA from 1 species
CAGUAGCCGCGGGAACACGUAGGUGGCAAGCGUUGUCCGGAAUUAUUGGGCGUAAAGCGCGCGCAGGCGGAUAGGUCAGUCUGUCUUAAAAGUUCGGGGCUUAACCCCGUGAUGGGAUGGAAACUGCCAAUCUAGAGUAUCGGAGAGGAAAGUGGAAUUCCUAGUGUAGCGGUGAAAUGCGUAGAUAUUAGGAAGAACACCAGUGGCGAAGGCGACUUUCUGGACGAAGACUGACGCUGAGGCGCGAAAGCCAGGGGAGCGAACGGGAUUAGAUACCCCAGUAGUCCCUGUCUCUUAUACA